UCUCUUUCAGAGAUCAUGAAAACACAGCAUCAAGCCUGCUGCAGGAUCACUAUCUCGAUUCAUCUUGGAGAACUGGAAACAGUCUUCCCUGGACACUGGACAGCACCAUUAGUGAAGAAAACAGGGCUGUCAUUGAGAAGAUGUUGCUGGAAGAAGAAUAUUAUUUAUCUAAUAAAUCACUUUCUGAAAAAAUAUGGCUCAACCAAAAGGAAGUAGAGAAAAGAUCUAUGAAAAGCCCACAUAAGAAAACUGGAAAAGUCAUGGUGCGUUCACCUACAAAAUCACCUGGCUGCUCCUUGAAGUGGACACCAGAGGAAAAAGAGCUGUUUGAACAAGGACUGGUGA